GUGUAACUAUCCCAAGAUCAGAUUAGUUGAACGAUCCUAACCUCUGAUUCAUGGACACUUGUUUGUGGAAAUAGGAGCAUUGAUUUUUAAAAAAAUCUGAUAUUGAAACAGGUUAAUCUAUUGAUUUUUCAAAGGUUAAGUAGACCAUUUAUAUUUAAAAGGAACUAGUCCAACGAUUAAAGGAUUUGAUAUUUAGUAGUUAUUUGAUACUCUUCCAAAGUAUAAUGCUUGAUGCACGACGACUCUAAAAGUAUAGCCGUGGCAUACAUUAACUUGAACUAAAUAGACCAAACUGCCUAACACUGCUAAAGUCAUCAUUCUAAAGUCUGGCUAGGUUGGUUGAACAACUUUAGCCUCUGAUUUGUAGACAAAUUUGUUGAAACAGCACCUACUUUCAAUUUUAACCUUCCAAUAUAUAAAUGUCCACCAUUUGACGGUUAGAAAAUUAACUAAGCCUAGAUUUUUGUUGGUGAUAAAUCUGAAUGGAAACCAUAGUUCGAAUCAUUUAGUUUGUAAUUUGGGCUUCUUGUAGUGUCUGAGCACAUUUGAUUUUUUUUAUUUUUCCUUUUUUGUUAAUUUAAUUAAUUUAUUGCAGGAAAAUUGCAGUUUAUACUGGCCCAACUAGUACUCCAUCACUAUGCUUCCUUCUUUGUUUUUUUUAUUUGUUUCUGACCCUUGCUGUAUUAGGGAAACAUGCGGCAGCAUGGCAUAUGUGUACGAUGUCCAGUUCAUUCAUCAGUUGGCUCCUGCUGCUUCUUUAUAUUUUUUCUUUUCUUGCUCUUAUGUGGCUGUAGAUGGCCAUAGACAGUAGAGUUCAGUUGACGAAUGGCUCCGAUCCUGUACACGCUUGAAGGGCUCAGUAGAAAAAAAAAUUAAAAAAAGGUUGAUGUAUUUGGUUGGGUUUUUGUAGUUGGGGGACUCGUGAAUGCAACAUGCAGAAAUGCAAUAGAGCUAAUGAUAGCUCUACUAGCUUUGCAUAAAGGGAAGAUAAAGGUGCUGAAGUGGUCUCUUUUGUGUUCUAUCAUCUCUAAUCUACUACUUGUUCUUGGCUCCUCUUUUCCUCAAAGGACUCGUAAACCUCAUAAACGAACAAAAAUUCGAUAGAGUAAGCCAUAUCUCAAAACUAACCCCCUUUUUUUCAUUUAAUACUCUCAUUCAACCCACCCAGCCCUUGCCUUUACCCUUUCUUUCAUAUUUCUUAUUUCUCUUGCAAAAGCAAGCCCAUGCUAAUUCUGGCCUUCUCUUCUUGGCUUUGGUGUGCCACAUGCUGCCUUUGAAGUUCAAACAUGCCUCUGACAAUGACGCUAGGACUGUCAAUCACAUUCUUCAACUGUCUAGAGCAAGCAGCAUUAUCAUGCUUCUUGCUUACAUCGCCUAUCUCUUCUUCCAAUUGAAGACCCAUUGACAGCUCCUUGAAGCACAAGAGGUACAAUAGAGGUAUGGUAUCUGAUCUUUCAAGUAUCUGUGCCGUCACUUGGAUGGAGCACCUACUUUAUUUCUAAAGUUGGGGGACAAAGAGCAAGUAGUGGGCACAUGUCAAUUAUGGAUACUUCACAAAAUGAGACAUUAGAGGUUGGACCUGAGAAUUUGAAGAUGUCCUUUUCAUCAACAUCUGGACAACUGAAAUGUAUGAUGAAUUAUAGAACAGGGGUGAAAUAUUUGGAUGUGGAACUUGAAAGUACUAAGCAAAAAUGUAAACAAAACCUGCAACAAGCCAUCUUAAUUGAAAGGGAAAGAGUUACUCAAAUGCAAUGGGAUAUGGAAGAACUUUGUAGGUAGUAUUUGGAGAUGGAGUCAAAGCUCAAGUUCGAAUAGGAUGAAAAGAUUCAUUUGGAGUUGGCAAAAGUGUUUGCCAUUUAUGAGAAGGAGUUGUUGCUACCGAAAUUGGACGUUGUAAAAGAACAACUUAAGAACUAGCAGAAACAUCAAGAAGAGCUGGAAAUGAAAUCAAAAGAGGAUAUUAAACUUCUUGUCAAAGAAGUUAAACAUGCUAGAUUGGAAAGUUUUAGAAGAGGCUUGACCAAAGUGAAGUAUUGUUUAUUUAGAAAUGUGAAUGUAGGAUGCAUUGUAUGAUUUGAUUGUUAUUUGUAAUAAAUGCAUCAUUUUUUUUUUCU